rnacentral:rRNA from 1 species
UUGAACGCUGGCGGUAUGCUUAACACAUGCAAGUCGAACGGAAACGAUACUAGCUUGCUAGUAGGCGUCGAGUGGCGGACGGGUGAGUAACGCGUAGGAAUCUGCCUGAUAGUGGGGGAUAGCCCGAAGAAAUUCGGAUUAAUACCGCAUAAUCUAUUCGUAGUAAAGUGGGGGACUUUCGAGCCUCACGCUAUCAGAUGAGCCUGCGUAAGAUUAGCUUGUUGGUAGGGUAAAAGCCUACCAAGGCGACGAUCUUUAGCUGGUCUGAGAGGAUGAUCAGCCACAUCGGGACUGAGACACGGCCCGAACUCCUACGGGAGGCAGCAGUGGGGAAUAUUGGACAAUGGGGGCAACCCUGAUCCAGCAAUACCGCGUGUGUGAAGAAGGCCUGAGGGUUGUAAAGCACUUUCAAUUGUGAAGAAAAGUUAGCGGUUAAUAACCGUUAGCCUUGACGUUAACUUUAGAAGAAGCACCGGCUAACUCCGUGCCAGCAGCCGCGGUAAUACGGAGGGUGCAAGCGUUAAUCGGAAUUACUGGGCGUAAAGCGUGCGUAGGCGGUUUAUUAAGUCAGAUGUGAAAGCCCCGGGCUUAACCUGGGAACUGCAUUUGAAACUGGUCAACUAGAGUAUGGUAGAGGAAAGUGGAAUUUCUGGUGUAGCGGUGAAAUGCGUAGAUAUCAGAAGGAACAUCAAUGGCGAAGGCAGCUUUCUGGACCAAUACUGACGCUGAGGUACGAAAGCGUGGGUAGCAAACAGGAUUAGAUACCCUGGUAGUCCACGCCGUAAACGAUGAUAACUAGCCGUUGGGGGGAUUUACCCUUUAGUGGCGAAGCUAACGCGUUAAGUUAUCCGCCUGGGGAGUACGGCCGCAAGGUUAAAACUCAAAGGAAUUGACGGGGACCCGCACAAGCGGUGGAGCAUGUGGUUUAAUUCGAUGCAACGCGAAGAACCUUACCUGGUCUUGACAUCCUGCGAACUUUCUAGAAAUAGAUUGGUGCCUUCGGGAACGCAGUGACAGGUGCUGCAUGGCUGUCGUCAGCUCGUGUCGUGAGAUGUUGGGUUAAGUCCCGUAACGAGCGCAACCCCUAUCCUUAUUUGCCAGCACAUCAUGGUGGGAACUAUAAGGAGACUGCCGGUGAUAAACCGGAGGAAGGCGGGGACGACGUCAAGUCAUCAUGGCCCUUACGACCAGGGCUACACACGUGCUACAAUGGGAAGGACAAAGAGCCGCGAAGCCGCGAGGUGUAGCUAAUCUCAUAAACCUUUUCGUAGUCCGGAUUGGAGUCUGCAACUCGACUCCAUGAAGUCGGAAUCGCUAGUAAUCGUAGAUCAGAAUGCUACGGUGAAUACGUUCCCGGGUCUUGUACACACCGCCCGUCAAGG